rnacentral:rRNA from 1 species
UAGUUAUGUUCUUUAAACUUAAAGAAUUUGGCGGUGUUUUAUCUAUUCAGAGGAAUUUGCCCAUUAAUCGAUAAUCCUCGUUUUAUCUUACUUGAUUUUGUUUAUCAGUAUGUAUAUCGCUGUUAUAAGUUUAUUUUUUUAGAAUAAGAAUUUACUUUAUUUAUUAUUUUGAUUUAUUUCAAGUCAAGGUGCAGCUAAUAAUUAAGUAUGGGGUGAAUUACAAUAUUUAUUUGAAUAUAUGGAUUUAUUACUUGAAAUGUUUUUUAAAAGUGGAUUUGUUAGUAAUUUUAAUUAUAAUGUUAUUUUGAUUUUAGUUCUAAAAUAAGUACACAUCGCCCGGCGCUCUA